rnacentral:hammerhead_ribozyme from 1 species
CUAUACUGAGGAGUCCCAUAAUAGAACGAAACAGCCGUCUAUUAU